UACGUAGGUGACAAGCGUUGUCCGGAUUUACUGGGCGUAAAGAGCGCGCAGGCGGUCGAUCAAGUCGAGUGUGAAAGCCCCCGGCUCAACUGGGGAGGGUCAUUCGAUACUGAUCGACUCGAAGGCAGGAGAGGGUAGUGGAAUUCCCGGUGUAGUGGUGAAAUGCGUAGAUAUCGGGAGGAACACCAAUGGCGAAGGCGACUACCUGGCCUGUUCUUGACGCUGAGGCGCGAAAGCUAGGGGAGCAAACGGG
rnacentral:rRNA from 1 species